AAUAACCUUAUUUUUUCUUUCCGUGUCUAACGUUUGAUCAGUCGCCUUAUUUAAAAUUUUUUUGCGAUUAAUAUUUUUAUUAUUACUACAUGAUAAAAUAUGAAUAGUACUUUACAUGUGACUAAUUUUUUUAAGUGUUUGUAUAAAUUUUUCAAAUAAGAUGAAUGGUAAAACGUUGGAUACGGAAAAAC
rfam:Oryza brachyantha chromosome 6, whole genome shotgun sequence.